ensembl:lncRNA
GUCAGACCUCUCACUAGCCUUGAUAUCAAGCAGGAUUACCCUCAAUGCAUCUGAUGCCUCCACAGAGUCCAGUGACAGUGGUCCAACCAUUUCGGUCUCAGGCUAAAAACACUGCUCGAUUAAGGUCAGGGACGUGCAGGUUCCUCCUCAUGUGAAUGACGGUAUUCUGGAAGGACUUCGGGUAAUGCACUUGUCCUUCCAAUGCUCUGACAACCGAGUGCUGAAAAGGGGAAGGGUAACUAUCGUCCAAUGUUUGGCUUUACCGUUGAUUUCCACUGGAACACCCAGCUAGCAGAAAACAUUAUUACAAGGUUCAUACUUUCCUUUCUUUCCACUGCUGAAGAACUCAUAAUUGAAAAACAGAUGGUGUGUUUCCAUGGGGUUCGGGGUUCGAUUCCCACCGUGGUCCUGUGUGUGCGGAGUUUGCAUGUUCUCCCCGUGCUGCGGUGGUUUCCUCCGGGUACUCCGGUUUCCUCCCCCAGUCCAAAGAAAUGCAUGGUAGGCUGACUGUCAUGGCCAAAGUGUCCGUAGUGUAUGAAUGGGAAUGUGAUUGUGCCCUGCGAUGGAUUGGCACCCUGUCCAGGGUGUACCCCGCCUUGUGCCCCAUGCUUCCUGGGACAGGCUCCGGGUUUCCCCGUAACCCUGAAAAGAAUAAAGCGGUAUAGAAGAUGGAUAGAUGGGUGACCUAUUAUGUAAGCAGAUCUGGACACGCAGGGAACUUUUUAUCAACUUUUAUCUCUUCCUUAUUUCCCUGCUCACCGCCUGCCAACAUCAAGGCCUUGGUCACCCAGUUGGAUACAGUGAGGUUUACAGUAACAUAUAAACGCAGGAUACAGAUUUUAAGUGUGAAUUUAUCCCUAUUGAGCGAGCCGGUGGUGACGGUGGUGAGGAAAAGCUCCCUAAGAUGAUAUGAGGAAGAAACCUUGAGAAGAACCAGACUCAGAAGGGAACCCGUCCUCAUCUGGGUCACAACGGAUAGUGUGAAAGUAAAAGAAAGUUCAUUAUGGUCUGUUUGUUGAACUAGUCCACUGUUCACUAAAGGAGACCUGAGUGCAAAACUGCAUGUGGUAAUUGCAGUCCAAAGGCCAUCACAGCAACCAUAGUCCCAGCAACCACAGCGAAAAUGUCCAUGAGGAAUUGAGGUCCAAAACCAUUUCCAUGGUACUUCAAGCGGCACCGUCCUCAGCGAUCUCCAGGCACUGCUUGGGGUCGACCUCAAAGGCAGAAUGUAGCCACAGAUGUAGUGGAUGAGAGAGGUGUUCAAAUGGGUCGCAAGAGUUCGAGUGUGUUUUCUAGGAAGAGCUAUGAGAAUUGGAGAAAGGUGGACUUUGGACUUGCUCAUGAGAGCAGUUUGUGUCUACACAAUGGUGCGGACUUUUCCAUCCCUUCACAUGAGACACAGGGUCACGGGGAGCCUAUCCCAGGGAACUUGGGGCACAAGGUGGGGGACAGCCUGGAGGGGUGCCAACCCACUGGAGGACACAAUCACACACACAUUCACACUCUAUGGACAAUUUGGAAAUGCCAAUCUGCCUACAACGCAUGUCUUUGGACUUGGGAGGAAACUAGAGUACAUGCCAUGGCCACCCCAGUCCCAUGACUGAGAAAACCUGUAGGGUGAACUGAAGAGGAGAGUCCACCAGCGUGGACCUCGAAAUUUGAAGGAUUUGGAGAGAUUCUGUAUGGAGGAACGGUCUCAGAUCCCUUCGCCAUGUAUUCUCCAACCUCAUCAGGC